UCAGAUGCAAUGAGACAUCACAUUUCAGCCCUGCAUAUAUAGAUGGGUGAUGUGUAUCAGUCUAACAGUAGACACAGACUUUUACAUUAACUGUAAACGUCUCACUGCUCUGUUUGAAAACAGCCUUUUGUCUCUGACCCUGAAAGGAUGAAGUGCAUUGUGGUCUUUCUCAUGUUGUCCGUGGUCAUUCUCAUGGCAGAACCUGCUGAUGGUUCAGAGAAAUUCAUCAUGCCUGGUUGCGAGAAGUAUUACGAGGAACUCUUUAGGCGCCAAGAUGAGCUGGAGCAGCAGCAGGCUGGGGAGCAGUGGCUUGUAAAACGUGCUUGCUUCCUUAGACUUGGCUGAAACUACGUUUUGGAUGAAAUAAGAUGCUUCUUGCGUGACAACCACUUCUUGAUGAUACAAAUGUCUUGGUUUAAUGCAUUGCAGAAUUUUGAUCAAAUUUGGUGGAUGGUCAUUUGUUCAGAAUAAAUAAGCAUUGCAACAA